AAGGCGGGCUUGGCCUGGCGGUCUCUGGGAGCCAUGCGGCUGCUCUCGUCCUCGCAGGGCCCUGAGCUACCCGGCCGGCUCUGCUCCGAGUCGUGCCCUGCCUAGUUCAACUCUGCCAAGUUUGCCUCAAGUCCUUGUUUCCUCUGAGCGCACUAUGGGCUACCUCGUCCGGGGGCCGCGACCUGCAGAUGGAGUUCCGGGGGUGCUGGUGACGCCAUGUCGAGGCAACGCUUCCAAUACUUCCUAGAGUCUCUGUUACAAGACCAGUGGCUGAUACCAACAAUCUCCUCCAUCCAGGACUGGUUCGAUGCCAUCGACGACUUGUGGCUUCAAGGAACUUUUAUAGACUUCACCCCUACCGAAGUAGCUAUCUAUAGCCACUGGGUGUUAUUUCUGGUUGCCAUGGUAUCCCCAGACCUGUCCCCCGGACAUUCCUCCACUUUCCCUUUCUAGAUCCCACGCCGCCCCCGCACAGCAGGAAGCAGCCAGAUCUGACCAACGACGCCCCAGUUCCUAAGAAAACAAAAAGGGAGGAAUGUGGGAAAAGGUAUAACUGCAGCUACACCCCAAAAAACCCCAACAUGGCUCCUGAGGAGCUUCUCUUCCUGCCUCUCCCUUUCCCACCGGUGCCAAAAACUCCCGCCAGCGCCAAUAUUCAAAUUCCGCUAGCGGGAAACCUUAGCCCCACUAAGAACUAAUUUCGUGGACUCCGGAACUGACAUCUGGAAGAACUUACCAAUAAACGGGUGACCCAUCAUUUACCUAAGCCCUGCCACCUCUCCUUAGACCUAUAUAAGCCCACAGCCUUUUGUAAUAAAGUGGAACUUCUCCGGUGA